rnacentral:rRNA from 1 species
ACGCACGCUGGCGGCGUGCUUAACACAUGCAAGUCGCACGGAAAGGCCCUGCUUUUGUGGGGUGCUCGAGUGGCGAACGGGUGAGUAACACGUGAGUAACCUGCCCUUGACUUUGGGAUAACUUCAGGAAACUGGGGCUAAUACCGGAUAGGAGCUCCUGCUGCAUGGUGGGGGUUGGAAAGUUUCGGCGGUUGGGGAUGGACUCGCGGCUUAUCAGCUUGUUGGUGGGGUAGUGGCUUACCAAGGCUUUGACGGGUAGCCGGCCUGAGAGGGUGACCGGCCACAUUGGGACUGAGAUACGGCCCAGACUCCUACGGGAGGCAGCAGUGGGGAAUAUUGCACAAUGGGCGGAAGCCUGAUGCAGCAACGCCGCGUGCGGGAUGACGGCCUUCGGGUUGUAAACCGCUUUCGCCUGUGACGAAGCGUGAGUGACGGGAAUGGGUAAAGAAGCACCGGCUAACUACGU